rnacentral:lncRNA from 1 species
GAAUUUGAUUCUUGAAAUCAAGAUCCAAACACCAUGAAUAAAAAGUAAAAGAUGAAUCCAGAUUUUAUUUUUAUUUUUGAUUAAAAGGUUUAAUUAUUUAAGAGAAUUAAUGAGAGAUGAACCCAAAUGAAUCUUUAAAAAUGCCACAACCUUGAAAAGAAGCAUCAAAUCUAAAUAAGUCAUGCCAGAAUCUUGAGUGACG